AUUGAACGCUGGCGGAAUGCUUUACACAUGCAAGUCGAACGGCAGCACGGUCUUCGGUCUGGUGGCGAGUGGCGAACGGGUGAGUAAUGUAUCGGAACGUGCCCAGUCGUGGGGGAUAACGUAGUGAAAAUUACGCUAAUACCGCAUACGAUCUAUGGAUGAAAGCGGGGGAUCGCAAGACCUCGCGCGAUUGGAGCGGCGGAUAUCAGAUUAGGUAGUUGGUGGGGUAAAGGCCCACCAAGCCAACGAUCUGUAGCUGGUCUGAGAGGACGACCAGCCACACUGGAGCUGAGACACGGUCCAGACUCCUACGGGAGGCAGCAGUGGGGAAUUUUGGACAAUGGGCGAAAGCCUGAUCCAGCCAUUCCGCGUGCAGGAUGAAGGCCCUCGGGUUGUAAACUGCUUUUGUACAGAACGAAAAGGUUUCUACUAAUACUAGGAGCUCAUGACGGUACUGUAAGAAUAAGCACCGGCUAACUACGUGCCAGCCGCCGCUGUAA
rnacentral:rRNA from 1 species